rnacentral:rRNA from 1 species
AGUGAACGCUGGCGGUAGGCCUAACACAUGCAAGUCGAACGGCAGCACAGUAAGAGCUUGCUCUUACGGGUGGCGAGUGGCGGACGGGUGAGGAAUACAUCGGAAUCUACUUUUUUGUGGGGGAUAACGUAGGGAAACUUACGCUAAUACCGCAUACGACCUACGGGUGAAAGCAGGGGAUCUUCGGACCUUGCGCGAUUGAAUGAGCCGAUGUUGGAUUAGCUAGUUGGCGGGGUAAAGGCCCACCAAGGCGACGAUCCGUAGCUGGUCUGAGAGGAUGAUCAGCCACACUGGAACUGAGACACGGUCCAGACUCCUACGGGAGGCAGCAGUGGGGAAUAUUGGACAAUGGGCGCAAGCCUGAUCCAGCCAUACCGCGUGGGUGAAGAAGGCCUUCGGGUUGUAAAGCCCUUUUGUUGGGAAAGAAAAGCAGCAGGUUAAUACCCCGCUGUUCUGACGGUACCCAAAGAAUAAGCAACGGCUAACUUCGUG